AAAAACAUCGCCUCCUGCAAAACCUCAAUGUAUAGGAGGUCUUACCUGCCCAGUGACAAAGUUUAACGGCCGCGGUAUCUUGACCGUGCUAAGGUAGCGCAAUCACUUGUUUUUUAAAUGAAGACCUGUAUGAAUGGUGAAACGAGGGCUUAACUGUCUCCCCUCUCUAGUCAAUGAAACUGACCUGCUCGUGCAGAGGCGAGCAUAAAUAUACAAGACGAGAAGACCCUUUGGAGCUUUAGACAUAAGGUUAACUGUGCUUAAAACCAAACAAAAUGGAAUAAAAUAAACAACAACUAACCAGAGUCUUCGGUUGGGGCGACCAUGGGGAAAAACAAAACCCCCACGUGGAACGGGCCAUACCCCUAAGCCAAGAGAAAUAUCUCAAAGCAACAGAACAUCUGACCAUAAAGAUCCGGCCAACAAGCCGAUCAACAGACCAAGUUACCCUAGGGAUAACAGCGCAAUCCCCUUCAAGAGUCCAUAUCGACAAGGGGGUUUACGACCUCGAUGUUGGAUCAGGACAUCCUAAUGGCGCAGCCGCUAUUAAGGGUUCGUUUGUUCAACGAUUAAAGUCCUACGUGAUCUGAG
rnacentral:rRNA from 1 species